rnacentral:lncRNA from 1 species
AGUAGAUGGAGGGGUGGAGCAGCAUUCCACAGAGGGCAUGGGGAGGGGGCACGGAUGCCCCCCGGGAGAGGCCCGGAGACUGCGAGAGAGGUCAGUGCGGCUGCUGCCGAGACAGACAGCCCGGCCCCUGGCCCGUCCUCCAGCCUCUGCACACCACGCCCCCGCCGGCCCCCUGGCCGGUCCGUCCUUCCUCUCAUGGUCGAAAGCUCCCUUAGCCACCUACAGAUCUGGAUUAAAUGCCACACCAUGGGGAGGGACCUAGAUUCCCAAGUGGCCCCAGAGAGCUCCCGAGGGGUGAACCUGGAGACCAGAGGGAAACGGAGGUUAGAGGGAACCAGGCAGAGAAACUCACCCUUCUCUGCCGUCUGCUCUGAGGUGCAGCUUUGACUUUACAGGGAGGGGAUGUGGUCCUUGUCCUCUGGAUGUCCAGCUGGGAUGGACUCUUUGCAGUGUGCCCUCAGGUGGUGGCCCAGUAGUCACACACACAUCCCACCUUAUCCCCCACAGAGUUCCUUUGCAUAGUUUAUGUUCCCUGCCCUCGAGGUGCAUGACCCUUGCCUCAGGCUCUGCUUUCUGGAGACCCGGCCUGAAACAGGAACUGGGGCUCCAGGAAGUGGCUGGCCUGACAUUGGAGAGGCUGGCUAAGACUGUGGUCACUGCUCUGUCACUGCCCCAAUCAGGGAGCAAGGAGUGAGGGAUGGAGUGGACAUGUCCUUUGGGAACCCCACCUCUGUGUUCUUGGCUCCUGGGUGGGAAUUCAAGCCCGGCUGUGGCCCCAGGGGGCUGCCUGCAGGGUGGCUGGGACGUCCUGGGUCAGGGCUGGGACUGGCUAGAUCAACGCCCUAGCACGGAGACCACUCCCAGGGCCAGGCGGGAAGUCAGUGGAGCCUGCCCUUAGGCUGCCCAGUGGUUAAAAGAGAAGGACGGAUCCAGGAAUACUUGAGCCACCAAGUGGUUAAUUGGCCUUGCCUCAAUCAGCCUGAUGAAUAUUCAUGAGGUGCGCUGUCCUCAUCAGGCCGAGGUCUGCAUCCGACGCCCUGCGUGCUGGCAAUGCCUGCCUCGCCCCCUCUCCGUCCGUCCGGCUGACAGACGCCAGCCCGCACUCGGCUCCGAUUGGCCCGGCUGCUCUCGAAGAUGCCAUAGCAACCCUGGCUGGUUGCCUAGUGAUUUUUCCCUCUCUUCCUUUUUACCUAAGGCCCGAGCUAGUAAUCCACAGACCGAGGGUGGAAAUGUCUUUGUGCCAUGAGUUGUGCGGCCAUCACGACACCCACCACCUCGGGCGGAAACCUGGUGCCACAGCCCUCGCUCUGCCCCCCUCAGCCCGCGGCUCUCACAGCGUGGUUUCCAGAUUCAUCCGUGCUGUGGCCGUGUCAGCGCUUCAUCCCUGCUAAUGGCUGAGCAGUAUUCCAGCGUGCAAACACACCGCGUGUUAGACGUUGGCGUUUGGCCAUCAUGAACAAAGCUGCUGUGGACGUUCGUGUACAAGUGUUCCUGUGGGCGUGUUCUCGUUUCUCUUGGACAUACAGCUCCGAGUGGAGUUGCUGGGUCACAGGGUGAGUCUGUACUUAGUUUUUUGAGGAACUGAAUCAUUUUACAUUCCCGUGAGCAGUUUAGGAGGGCUCAUCUGGCUUUUUAACGUCACCUUUUUCUUAUUCCCUGGAGACUAAAGCUAUUCAUUCACCCACCCACCCAUCGAUUCACCCAUCCAUCCGUCCGUCCACCCAUCAACCCCCCAUCCACACAUCCAUCCACACAGUCAUCCAUCCAUCCAUCCAUCCAUCCAUCCCCCAUGAGUUCCCCGAGUACCUGCUUAAUCCCAAGCCUGGGUAUAUGAUCUGUGGGACCCAGUGGGAUCAUGGCUCUCUGCCCUUCAAGUGCCAGGAGGGUCUUUAGGCUAGGAGGCACAGUGAUGGGCACGAGCAGCCGCGUCCAGGGGUGGGUGCCUUCCUGGGGUUUUUCCUGCUUUUAAAAGACGAAUGUGUAGGACAUCAGGGGUGGACUUGCAGGUCCCAGAUGCUACUCUAGUUCGGUGGCCGCUGCUCUCUCCCACCGGGCUCUCCCCAUCCCACAAGCCCCACCAGGCCAGCCUGUCCCAGACCACCCAUAGGAUUGAGGGCACUGAGAUUCUGCAUUUCUGACAAGUCCCAAGAGGGUUGAUGCCGCAAGGUAUUAGGGAACAGGACCCGGCGCUCUCCCAUGCUGUCAUGGCAUCUGCAGCACGGAGAUGCCCCUCCCUUGAUGAAGUCCUAUUGUUGGCACAGGUGGAUGUUUCUUUAGUCAGAUGAACCUCCCUGAGGGCAGGCCCCCCCCCCCCCCGCCAUACAUCCUCCAGCUGCAAGCCUGGUGUCAUUCCCAGGUGCUCUGUCACAGGCGUCACUGCUUGACCAGAGG